rnacentral:rRNA from 1 species
UCGUCGCGUCCGGUGUGAAAGUCCAUCGCUUAACGGUGGAUCUGCGCCGGGUACGGGCGGGCUGGAGUGCGGUAGGGGAGACUGGAAUUCCCGGUGUAACGGUGGAAUGUGUAGAUAUCGGGAAGAACACCAAUGGCGAAGGCAGGUCUCUGGGCCGUCACUGACGCUGAGGAGCGAAAGCGUGGGGAGCGAACAGGAUUAGAUACCCUGGUAGUCCACGCCGUAAACGGUGGAUGCUGGAUGUGGGGCCCGUUCCACGGGUUCCGUGUCGGAGCUAACGCGUUAAGCAUCCCGCCUGGGGAGUACGGCCGCAAGGCUAAAACUCAAAGAAAUUGACGGGGGCCCGCACAAGCGGCGGAGCAUGCGGAUUAAUUCGAUGCAACGCGAAGAACCUUACCUGGGCUUGACAUGUUCCCGACAGCCGUAGAGAUAUGGCCUCCCUUCGGGGCGGGUUCACAGGUGGUGCAUGGUCGUCGUCAGCUCGUGUCGUGAGAUGUUGGGUUAAGUCCCGCAACGAGCGCAACCCUCGCCCUGUGUUGCCAGCACGUCGUGGUGGGAACUCACGGGGGACCGCCGGGGUCAACUCGGAGGAAGGUGGGGAUGACGUCAGAUCAUCAUGCCCCUUACGUCCAGGGCUUCACGCAUGCUACAAUGGCCGGUACAACGGGAUGCGACACGGCGACGUGGAGCGGAUCCCUGAAAACCGGUCUCAGUUCGGAUUGGAGUCUGCAACCCGACUCCAUGAAGGCGGAGUCGCUAGUAAUCGCGGAUCAGCAACGCCGCGGUGAAUGCGUUCCCGGGCCUUGUACACACCGCCCGUCAAGUCAUGAAAGUGGG